AUUGAACGCUGGCGGCAUGCUUUACACAUGCAAGUCGAACGGUAACAGGCCUUCGGGUGCUGACGAGUGGCGAACGGGUGAGUAAUGCAUCGGAACGUACCCAGAGGUGGGGGAUAACGCAGCGAAAGCUGUGCUAAUACUGCAUGUGAUCUGAGGAUGAAAGCGGGGGACCGAGCAGCAAUGUUUGGCCUCGCGCCUUUGGAGCGGCCGAUGUCGGAUUAGCUAGUUGGUGGGGUAAAGGCCUACCAAGGCGACGAUCCGUAGCUGGUCUGAGAGGACGACCAGCCACACUGGAACUGAGACACGGCCCAGACUCCUACGGGAGGCAGCAGUGGGGAAUUUUGGACAAUGGGCGCAAGCCUGAUCCAGCAAUGCCGCGUGCGUGAAGAAGGCCUUCGGGUUGUAAACCGCUUUUGGCAGGAACGAAACGGUGUCCGCUAAUACCGGGCGCUAAUGACGGUACCUGCAGAAUAAGCACCGGCUAACUACGUG
rnacentral:rRNA from 1 species